AACGUUGGCGGCUCUGAGCUUCAUGAACCUGUGACUGUGCCUGGCUUCUGAUUAUCAUCUAUUAUUUUCUCUUUGUUCCUGUAUUGGGUCUUGCCCUUGCCUGUCUGCUGGUUCCUGCUCUGGCUUGUAAUUUUGAGUUUUGGCUCUCAGUUCCUGUUUUGGAUCCUGGCAAAAUCUUUUCCUAGCACCUGACCUAGAACCUGCCACAAUCUGGAACUGCUUACCUUCUGAUUUCUAUCACAGGGUUUGAUUAUUGUUCCUGAUUCCAGCCCCUUGGGUUGACUCCUGACUUUGUGGGCCCUCCUUUCCAGAAUGUGAGAAAAGUGAUCAUAUAAGAAGACAUAAUUUUUUCUCAGUCCUAUACCUGGUAGCACUGAAGGAAGCAAGAGGAAAGAAGUAUAUUCCAUUUCUAAAACUCCACUUGUAACACUGCCACUGGGGACAUGUAGGCUACAGAGGCAAGCUGCCGCCGAUGCAUGCACAGACAGGAAUGUGAAUGCCUGCAGGACUGCAGUCAUUGGCUCUGUGAGAUGGUGAGACAGAUCAUCUGGCUACAGGCAAAUUCAUGGCUGUUCAGUGCGACAGAAAUCACUCCAAAUCCAGGAGGCAUUUCCAGACCCAGGAGGACUGGUGAAUAAUGGCUGGGUUCCUUGCAACAAUUCUAUGCCUGCUGGUCAUCAGCCCCGUUCCUGCCUGAGAGCAGGACAGUAGGGGCCAAGCUCUGCCAUCCACCAGUUUGCAGUCAAGGUCAGAAAGUCCACCUUAGA